CUCGUGGCAGUGCUGCACCGGGCAGAGCAGCGGCGUACUGCUCGCCAUUCAUCGAUGCCCAUGCCAUCCAGGCCGUUCCCCUACCCUACUUAAGCCUCCCCGGAGCUCUAGCCCUCUUCUCCCCUCUUCCCCAACCUCCUGUAGCCCUAGAUCGAGAAGGCCGUCUCGACGCCAUUGACGCCGGCAAGUUUUCCCGAGGCAAGAUUCUGGAGCCCUGUUCAUGUCAUUUUGUACCCCUUGACUUGGUUCUUCUCGGUGACCUUCUUUGCCCCUCCAGCUCGCAGCAAACGAGGAGAUCGGGCAUCAUCUUCUCCAGCUCCGACCGUACUCCGACGACAUUUUUGACAGUUCCGAUGGUCACAUGCGUCGAGCUGCCGCCGUGAGCUGGACGCUAUCGUCAACCGCCGGUGACGCCGUCGACCACCAGCUCCUCUCUCUCCUUUACUGAUCAAACCAUUGUCUUCCUGGUGAUGAGGAGGGUGUGAAUUGUGAGGACGGCAAUUCAAAGUACCAGCAGGGGGAUAAAGGCAAGCAGCCCUUAGGGUGUAUCAACUUUAUUAUUCUGAAUAUGUCAUCCUUGGUGUGAUGUGAUGUUUGUGUUGGAGACACUACCCUUGUGUUUCUAAAUGCUUGUUUACUAUUGUUACCGUUGGGCAUUAGCAUGAGUAGGAAUUG